AUUGAACGCUGGCGGCAUGCCUUACACAUGCAAGUCGAACGGCAGCACGGGAGCAAUCCUGGUGGCGAGUGGCGAACGGGUGAGUAAUAUAUCGGAACGUGCCCAGUCGUGGGGGAUAACGCAGCGAAAGCUGUGCUAAUACCGCAUACGAUCUACGGAUGAAAGCGGGGGAUCGCAAGACCUCGCGCGAUUGGAGCGUCCGAUAUCAGAUUAGCUAGUUGGUGGGGUAAAGGCCCACCAAGGCGACGAUCUGUAGCUGGUCUGAGAGGACGACCAGCCACACUGGAACUGAGACACGGUCCAGACUCCUACGGGAGGCAGCAGUGGGGAAUUUUGGACAAUGGGCGCAAGCCUGAUCCAGCAAUGCCGCGUGCAGGAUGAAGGCCUUCGGGUUGUAAACUGCUUUUGUACGGAACGAAACGGCCCUUUCUAAUACAGGGGGCUAAUGACGGUACCGUAAGAAUAAGCACCGGCUAACUACGUGCCAGCAGCCGCCGUAACAC
rnacentral:rRNA from 1 species